ACCAUAGUGGAGCCCUUGAAAGCACAGGCUCCAGGGCAAAGUGUUCUUUUGCUCAAUUAUAUGGGCAUUCUUCUUAUGGGUGUAGUUAUUUGCUUAUUGCUAUGUAAUGAUUUGGAUUUAAUAAUGCUAUAUUGAAAGUGCAAUGGCCUACAGAACUGAGGGAUCACGUUUUAGCUUAAAUUCAAUAGAAAAAAAUGACUCUUUUAUAAAAAAAAGUAUUUAAAUUUGUAAGUUGUCAUCCCUAUCCACUAAGGGAUAUUAAAUGUAUUAAAUACUGGGAAAUAUAUAUGCACAUAUAUAUUUAUAUAUGUAUGUAUGUGUGUGUGUGUGUGUGUGUGUGUGUGUAUAAUAGUGAUCAGAGAAAAAGACAAAUGAAGACAAACAGCAAUAAGGAUAAAAAUAGUCCAAUCAUAUGAACUCCCAGAUGCCAUUUUGGAGGAAAAUAAAAAUUUCCAUAGAAAUCAAUAGAUAAGGAACAGAUAUUUAAGAAAAUGUGCUUGGAACAAGUGCACAUAAAAUAACUAAAAUUUAGCAUAAUGGUCAUGAAGGAAAAAAAUGUUAUGCAUGAAAACAAGACAUUAUGGAAUAUGAGAAAAUUAGAUGCUGAAGAAAAUAAUUGAUUGGACUAAAAUUAUUCCAUUAGGCACUCUGAUUAAUACUCAUUAUUUAGUGGGGAGAAAUAUAGAGGUUGUUAUUAGAAGACCCAAUAGGCCCACUAUAACCUUUAUAUAACAUUAUAUAUAUUUAUAUUGAUCAAUUUUACAGCUUCCAGUUUAAAUAAAGGUUCAUUCAGUCUCAGUAGAUGCAUUUUCUAUAUAUUAUAGGUAUCUUUAUAUAAUUACAUAUAUGUGUAUAUAAUAUUGAAUAUUGACAGAUUAUAAUCACUUACAUUUAUGGCGUAUAGAGUUAUGCUUUAAUGUAUGCAUCCAAUUUGAUAUGACUAAAUCAAGUUCAUACCCAUCGCCUCUAAUAAUUACCAUUUAUUUCUCCUGUCUCACAGAAACUUUGCACUCUUUCAACAAUAUCUCUUCAUUCCUCUCACUCC
rnacentral:lncRNA from 1 species